GGUUAAGCGACUAAGCGUACACGGUGGAUGCCCUGGCAGUCAGAGGCGAUGAAGGACGUGCUAAUCUGCGAUAAGCGUCGGUGAGGUGAUAUGAACCGUUAUAACCGGCGAUUUCCGAAUGGGGAAACCCAGUGUGUUUCGACACACUAUCAUUAACUGAAUCCAUAGGUUAAUGAGGCGAACCGGGGGAACUGAAACAUCUAAGUACCCCGAGGAAAAGAAAUCAACCGAGAUUCCCCCAGUAGCGGCGAGCGAACGGGGAGGAGCCCAGAGCCUGAAUCAGUGUGUGUGUUAGUGGAAGCGUCUGGAAAGGCGUGCGAUACAGGGUGACAGCCCCGUACACAAAAAUGCACAUAUUGUGAGCUCGAUGAGUAGGGCGGGACACGUGGUAUCCUGUCUGAAUAUGGGGGGACCAUCCUCCAAGGCUAAAUACUCCUGACUGACCGAUAGUGAACCAGUACCGUGAGGGAAAGGCGAAAAGAACCCCGGCGAGGGGAGUGAAAAAGAACCUGAAACCGUGUACGUACAAGCAGUG
rnacentral:rRNA from 1 species